UGGGGAAUAUUGGAUAAUGGGCGAAAGCCUGAUCCAGCCAUGCCGCGUGUGUGAAGAAGGUCUUCGGAUUGUAAAGCACUUUAAGUUGGGAGGAAGGGCAGUAAGCGAAUACCUUGCUGUUUUGACGUUACCGACAGAAUAAGCACCGGCUAACUCUGUGCCAGCAGCCGCGGUAAUACAGAGGGUGCAAGCGUUAAUCGGAAUUACUGGGCGUAAAGCGCGCGUAGGUGGUUCGUUAAGUUGAAUGUGAAAGCCCCGGGCUCAACCUGGGAGCUGCAUCCAAAACUGGCGAGCUAGAGUAGGGCAGAGGGUGGUGGAAUUUCCUGUGUAGCGGUGAAAUGCGUAGAUAUAGGAAGGAACACCAGUGGCGAAGGCGACCACCUGGGCUCAUACUGACACUGAGGUGCGAAAGCGUGGGGAGCAAACAGG
rnacentral:rRNA from 1 species